CUGUCCUACCACCAAUUCUUCCUGCAGCCCUACGUGGAUAAGGCAUUCUAUUUUGUGGAUUUUGCCAAAAUAAUCACCUUAUCUACGGGGGCUGCUGGCAAAGAAUUUUCCAGCAGGACG
rnacentral:precursor_RNA from 15 species